rnacentral:rRNA from 1 species
UAGCCGAGUAAUACGAAUUAUAAUUUAAAACUCAAAGAUUUUGGCGGUGUCUUAUAAAACCAGGGGAACCUGUCUCAUAAAUCGAUAGUCCACGAAUUCCUUACCCUUAUUCGAUCUCAGCAUGUAUACUGCCGUCGUAAGCACACCUCUAAAAGUUAAGUAUGCAACUAUGAUGUCCCUCAUCUACGUCAGGUCAAAGUGCAGCCUAUACAGGGGAAGACGAUGGGUUACACUACUAAUAGGGUGCUAACUACAAGAUUAAAACUUGUACAAAGUUGGACUUGAGUGUAAUAACAACUUAAUACCGUAAUGAAACUGAAUUUAAGACAUGCACACAUCGCCCGUCACUCUCGCCUAAAGGCG